CUCGUGUACAAGUAAAGGUUCUCCAUACCUGGAAGCAAUACACAAAACUUUCAGGAGAAUCAUUGGAAAUUGUUUUGUCUGAUGCACAAGGAACAAAAAUUCAAGCCUCCUGUAAGAAGACUUACCUCGAUAAGUUGACAAGGAAACUUCCAAAUGUGCUUGGUGUUGGAAUGUGGAGAAACCUCGAAAAAUUCAACAUCACUAACCCUGGUGUUUCCUUCAGAUCUACCAAACACCAAUACAAGAUCAACUUCGUCUAUGCCACUGAUAUCACUCCAUCAUCAAUCAAAAACGACAGCAUGUUUCUGAGUUUGGUGGAUUUCGAAACUAUUGAGAAUGGAGUGGAAGAUCCAAACAUCUUAAUUGGUAUAUCUGUAGCUUUAAAGUUUCAUGUUAUAUUUGUUGUUCAACCUGAACUUUAUCGUUUUUUUUUUUGCAACUUGCAGAUGUUAUUGGAGAAGUGUCUGAUUUGGGAGCUCUACAGACUGUUCAGUGCUCAGGAAAACCAAAAAAGAAAAUCGAGUUCAGUUUGACAGAUAUUGUGUAAGUUAAACCAUAGAUUUUUUUUUAUCAUUAUAAUUAUUAGUUUGACAUAUAUAUUUUUUCAGUGGCCGUAGAAUUAAUUGCUGUCUGUGGGGAAAGUUUGCUGAAAACACUAAAGCUAACUGUGACGAGGCUGGUGAAGAUUCAGUUAUAUGCCUCCUACGUUUUGUGAAAGUUGGCACCUACAGAAAUGAGAUUCAAAUUUCAAACUCAUAUGAUGCUUCUCAAGUAUUUUUCAACCCGCCAAUUGCAGAGUCUGAGGCUUUUUUCAAAAGG